AUACGGAGGGUGCAAGCGUUGUUCGGAAUUACUGGGCGUAAAGCGCGCGUAGGCGGUCUGUUAUGUCAGAUGUGAAAGUCCUCGGCUCAACCGGGGAGGUGCAUUUGAAACUGGCAGACUUGAGUACUGGAGGGGGUGGUGGAAUUCCCGGUGUAGAGGUGAAAUUCGUAGAUAUCGGGAGGAAUACCGGUGGCGAAGGCGACUACCUGGCCAGAUACUGACACUGAGGUGCGAAAGCGUGGGGAGCGAACAGGAUUAGAAACCCCAGUAGUCC
rnacentral:rRNA from 1 species